rnacentral:rRNA from 1 species
UACGGAGGGUCCAAGCGUUAUCCGGAAUCAUUGGGUUUAAAGGGUCCGUAGGCGGUUUUGUAAGUCAGUGGUGAAAGCCCAUCGCUCAACGGUGGAACGGCCAUUGAUACUGCAAGACUUGAAUUAUUGGGAAGCAACUAGAAUAUGUAGUGUAGCGGUGAAAUGACUUAGAGAUUACAUGGAAUACCAAUUGCGAAGGC